rnacentral:lncRNA from 1 species
GUAAUCUAAUACUUGCCUAAUUUGAUAUAGCCAAGUUCAGUUAUUUGAAUAAUAAGUGUCUACUAUAAUCAAGCCUCAAACUUGAUCAACUAAAAUUAUUCGCAAGAAAAAAAGAACACAACUACUUAGGUGACACAACCUCAAACUGGAUUUGUCAAACCUGAAGCAUAGAUCGAAGAUAAUCAAGAAAGAGAUGGAGACAAUUCCAUUUUUGGAUGUGUCUAUUUUAGUUGUUGGAACAAAGAGAACGGAUUGUUAUAGAAAGAGGAUUUUUUUGUUAUUGAGCGAAAUUAUUCUUUUGCUUGGUCAUU